AAUUCCCAAUGUGUUCAUGUUUGUUCCAUUUUAUCUCUAAUGUUCUAACAUUUUCUGUAAAUCGAAGGAUCCACCUCCAAGCACACAAUCAACUGGUACAAAUCAAGGUAAUAAAUUUUGUGGUAUCAAAGUGGGAUUCAUGUCUUUCGUGCUAGAUAAGUUCUUGUUGUCUUUUCAUGACUGAUAUUAUUUGUAUUUCUUCCAUAAUACAAAUAGAAGCGCA
rnacentral:misc_RNA from 1 species